rnacentral:rRNA from 1 species
AGUGAACGCUGGCGGUAGGCCUAACACAUGCAAGUCGAACGGCAGCACAGUAAGAGCUUGCUCUUACGGGUGGCGAGUGGCGGACGGGUGAGGAAUACAUCGGAAUCUACCUUUUCGUGGGGGAUAACGUAGGGAAACUUACGCUAAUACCGCAUACGACCUACGGGUGAAAGCAGUGGAUCUUCGGACCUUGCGCGAUUGAAUGAGCCGAUGUCGGAUUAGCUAGUUGGCGGGGUAAAGGCCCACCAAGGCGACGAUCCGUAGCUGGUCUGAGAGGAUGAUAAGCCACACUGGAAAGGGAACACCGUCCAGGCUCCUAAGGGAGGCCGCAGUGGGGAAUAUUGGACAAUGGGCGCAAGCCUGAUCCAGCCAUACCGCGUGGGUGAAGAAGGCCUUCGGGUUGUAAAGCCCUUUUGUUGGGAAAGAAAAGCAGCAGGUUAAUACCCCGCUGUUCUGACGGUACCCAAAGAAUAAGCACCGGCUAACUUCGUG